rnacentral:sRNA from 1 species
ACAGAAAAGCUAAGCAUGGAUACUGAGUGAGAUAGGAUAAGUUAUCCACUGUUUUGCCACGCGUCGAUCAUCGUGGAUAAGUUCUCUUCAAUUGCAUCUCUCCAAAUCUCCUUUAGUUUCCAAAAUGUCCUUCUGUUUCCAUUUGCUUUCCUUUUCUCAACCUUUGGUUUCCGAUCUUCUCAUCUUUCUCAUUUUUCUCAGCCAAAUCAUCUGUGCAAAUUUCUUGCGUUUAAAACCCUUGGAAAAAUAAAUAGUUGCUGCAUCUUGCGUUUAAAAUCCCUGGGUUAGUACUGAUUUUGUUGGUUUUUCGAUUUUAUCAGGGUAGAUUUGUUACCUCCAAGGUCCACCUCUGUUUGGUGGACACUUUGCUCUUCGUUUUUUGGGGCUUCUAUGUCCAGCUUCGAACCCGUUUAUGCUCAAGACCAUAAUUUUUAAGCAACAAAAUUAAGCUGGAAAUUAAAUUGAGCUUCCAGGAUCUACAGUUGCAAUGCCUUUGAUGGAUAAAACACAGAGGACCCAGCUACUCUUAUAGAGCUUCUUUAGCAUUGUAAUGCUAUUCAGAGUGGUUCAAAGAAUUUCAAGAGCUUCAUUCAUCCAAUUUAUGCUUUUCAUGUAAAAAUUCUUUCAAUAAAUUUAAACAUUUUUCGGUGUAGAUAACAUUAACAUUUUGUAACAAUAUAUUAUAGCUUUGAAAUAUUUUUUUCACACGAUUUUUAAUCCCGCAGCAACGCGCGGGCAAUAUUUC